GAAAAUGCUUGAUGUAAUUAAAAAUUGAGAACUGGAGAAAUCAGAUACUGUCCAAAGGCCUGGGAAAACCAAGCGGAAGAAGCGAUGUGAUUAUCAGAAACCAGGAGCUCAGAGAAACGGCCCCUUUUGACUGGUCAAUACUCAGACUUUUGUGGGGGAGGCUCCCUCCACAUAACCUGGCCUUGAGGGUGGGGCGCACAGUGUGACUCUCCCUGGCUGUCACGCCGGAAACUGAUCUGCUGCUGGUAUCUCAGAAGUGUAGCGAAGCUGCUGUGGAGUGCAGAAGCCGGUAGCCAGAGCCAACUGUCUGCAGUUGCAGUACUGUAACAGCAGCUGGAAAACAGGAAUGAAGACCCUCCCCACUGUGUUUCACUUUCAGUUUCCCUUUAUGGCCUCUCUUUGGCAGAACCUAAUGGAACCACCUGGCAGUGGAUUCUGGGAAAUACAGUUUGCAGAGUCACAGCUGCAGCAACACAACUCCAGAGUGUGUAUGUGGGGGUUGAGAGGGAGGUGUGUUGCCGAGGGAGAUACAGAGUGCAGGAGCCAAAAGAAAACAGAUAAAUAACCAGAGCAUUCCAUGUAUUAAUAGCUGCUCAUACAUCUAGAUGUUGUUUCUGUCAGCUCGGAAGUAUUUCCUGAUAAGCAUCCACCAUAGUGAGCUUAUCCAUCCUCCUGGUUGCCUCAAACUCUUUGCCAUCUGGAUAAAUUAAAACCCUUGCCGUUUACGGUUCUGAGUACAAAGUAAGUUCCCCCAGUUAUGUGCACUCUAAGACUUGGGAGGUCAGUGUCAUGUUCCUGCUGCUUGGCUGUUGCCAGAGGCAGGUUUACAUGUUGAGCUUUCUGCAGCAGCAUUUGCAUCGAAGCCAAGGACAAAAGGAUGUGUACUGUAGUGGCUAAAGUUCAGUGUAGAACUGGAGGUUCAAUAGGUAAAAUAAAUCUACUUUGUACAAGUUUGGCUUUGAUGGUUAAGAGGAAAAAUUAUUGGAAGGAUAUCAAUACGUUACUCAGAGAACUAAUGGAAAGUCCAGGGAGUGAGGCUUAGAGAACAGACAGGAGCCAGGGGAGGAUGAACAGCUGCAAAAACUAAGGUCAACUUUAGAGGCAUCGUGGUUAGGAUGGCACUGCUGGGACCAUUGCUACUUGACUUUUAUCCUCACUCUUGUGGGUACAUAGAGUGAUGCUGAGAAUUGAGUUUCCCUCUAAGUUCAUGGCACUGUUAGGAUUGGUUCAUGAAAGGCCCCUCCUAUUCUUUGUUAUUUUGUUUGUUUCCUUUAUUCCCAAUUCAUACUUCAGUUUCUCUUAUAGUUUCACAACAUAUUUGUUGUGUUUGCCUGGACACCUGUGUAUCCUUGGCAAAAUAGAUGGUGGUUUUGGUAUAUGCGUGUUUUGGCAGAGACUGCCAGCUGAUCCUCCCACCCAUUUUUUCUUUGUGGGAAAUCAGCUGGACUCUUUCCCAGCCUCCCUUAUUCUUAAGUGUGAUCAAAUGGAUGAUAGUAGAACUGAGGUGUGCUACUCCUACGACCUCGCUCCUAAAAUUUUCCUAUGCACGGUCCCCCAUGCUAUUUCCAAUUUGGCCUUGGAGCAUCCGACCUUGAAAGCUACACCUUGAAAGAACCAGAAGAUGGAAGGAGCCUGAACACCACUUAGAGGAGAGCCACCCACCAAUUAGGAGCAUCUGUUUUGGAUGUCUCGAGGUCCAUCACUAUGUUCAAGUGAUGUUGGUAGAAAUCUUUGAAUCAUUCUCAGACUUGAAGGAAGAACUUUCAGUGUUUCAUCACUGGGUGUGAUAUUUGAACUGAGAUUCUGAUUAAUGGUUGUCAGAUUGAUAAUAUGCUCUACUUGAUAUUAUUUGUGUUAUGAAUCAAAUUUAGAAUUUUGUCAAAUGCUGCUUCUGAAUUGAGAUGAUCGUAUAUUUUUUUAAAAUUCUGUCAGUGUAGCAAGUAAAAGAUUUAUUCAUUUAUUUUAUAUGUGAAAUCAACCUUAAGUUUUUGGAAUAAAAUCAGCUUAGUUGAUUAUACCCGUUUUACAUAUUGAUGAAAUCAGUUUGAUAAUAUUUUGUAUAGGACUUUUUAGUCUGUGCUCAUGAGUGAACAUACAUGAUACCUUCCUAUAAAUCCUUUUCCCA
ensembl:lncRNA